AUUGCAGAACACAUUGAACAUCGAUAUCUUGAACGCAUAUGGCGGCCUCGGGUCCAUCCCGAGGCCACGCCCGUCUGAGGGUCGGCG
rnacentral:rRNA from 1 species